UCCAGGAGAACAACAACAACAGAUCUGAACGAUACGAAGAUGAUUUUGAGAAAAGAAAAGAAGCUUACUUGGUUUCUCAGGCUUUCCGCCAGCCCAUUUGGAGAGGGAGAAAUGAACCUUCUCGCGAUUCAGGGCUUCGGCUUUGAAAGGCUCCUUGAGACAGUUCCUCACGAGAUUCGCACAAAUGUUUGAGUAGGUGAUGUAAGUCAUCCCCGCCGCUCUCCAGAACGGAACCGCCGCUGUCGAUGCCAUCUCCGAUCUUCUUUUGUCUUUUUCUUCGCUCCAAUCCUUGGCAAAUUCGCAACAAGAUACAGACUGGUUCUCUUGUGCUGUGUGCCCUAAUAAUAAUACUUUCUCUCGCACAAGCCCAUUCCCUUAGCCCAAUAAUAAAACCGGCCCAUUAAAUGCUAAUCUUUCUAUCCAUUUUUCAAUAAAUCAUUUAAAUAUCCAUUUGGGUUUGGAUCAAUAUUUCCGUGUCUGGAAUCGAGCCUCAUAGGUUGCUAGUACAUUCGGGUUUUAUGUUGAACCCUCGAUGGUGAAUUCAUUCUCAAUCCAUCUUUUGAAUUGUUUUUUUUUUUUGUAAUUAAUCUUUUGAAUUGUUGGAAGAAUCAAAAUUGAUGUUCAAUUCCGAUUUAACUUAUAGUAGAUCUUGAUCCGCGUUAUAAUUCGACAAACCACGGAUAUAUUGUUUGUUUUGUUUUUUUUUGGUAUAACAUUUUUGUAAAUAAUUUAAAAUGAAUAUCACUUCGCUCCUGGUUGAACAAAAAAAAGAAAUAUCACCCGUUCUUCAUCCAUAAAAUUAGUUAAAUGUAAAAAGCAGUUAAAUGAAAUAGAUCUGUGUUUUGCUAUUAGAAAGCAACAGACAUAUCAAUAUACGACUUAGUUAUCAAUAUUAUUUAGUAUAUAAAUUUUAAGAUUUUUAAAAUAAUUUAAAUGGGUUAUUCGAACUCGAACUGAAAUUUAAAAAUACCUGAAUAUGACUAAAAUAUUUAACUCCGAAAACUCAAAAUAUGAAUAGACACUAACCGAAUCCGAAUGGAUACUCGAAUGACCACCCAUAAUUUUUAUAUAAGAUAUUGUAUAAGUUUAGACACAUUUAUCCAGAACCAAAUAACCAUAACCAAAUGUGAACCUAAUUCAUAAAUAAAAAAGUCAAUCAUAUAUUUCUGGAACCAAACAAAUGAAAUUGAACUGGAACCAAACCGCAAACCAAAUAGGUAUCCAAAAUUUUAAAAUAAAAUUAUAUAUCCACAAAUAUUAAUUAUAUUUAAUUUUAAAUAACUAAAUAUACUAAAAAUACUAUUAUUAACCAAAUUACCCGAAUAUUUAUCCAUAAAUUUAAAAUUAUCAGAAUUAUUUGAUAUUUUUAUUCAACAGUCCGAUAUUUAAAGUUGGUAUAAUUAUUUAUUUGUAAACAUAGUUAUUGACACUAUGAAUAUAAAUGCUAUUAAUUGUUAUUGAUAAUAGAUGGUAUCAGGGAUGGGGAAAUCAAAGCAUCUAAUAGAUGAAUCGGUUGCUGUCAAGUGUCAACGAUUGUAGUCGAAUACUUUUUCCACCCAAAGUAGUACAUACCGAAAUCCCUUAUAUAUUAAUCCUAAAACAUUACAAUAUAUUUAUAAUUCUUAAAAAAAUAAGUUGGUCCAUAUAAACAUAUACAGUGAAACCUCUAUAAAUUAAUAAUGUUGGAACUACACCAAAAAAAUAUUUUUUUUAUUAAUUUAUCGAUAUACUAAUUGAACCAAAAACUCAAGUUGGGACUAAAAAAUGAUAUUAUUUUAUAGAGUUUUUUAGUGUAUAUUAAUUUAUAUAUUAUUAAUUUAAAGAGGUUAUAUUGUACUAGGAUUUUUAUUAAACUAACUAUCAAAUUAGUUAAUAGUGUACAAAAUAAAUUUUAUUCUUUCAUUAAAUAAAAACUACAUAAUGCCUAAUAUGAUUAACAUAUAUAUGAUAAUUAGUGAUUAUGAAUAAUACAUAUUUGAUAACAAUUUUUGUACCCUCAUUCUUUUUUUGUUUAAUUUUAUAUUAUUAAAAUAAAUUAAAUAAUCACAUUAAGCAUAUAAAAAAAUUAGAUUUUUCUUCUAUGUUAUAUUUUGAAUUUUUAAAGGCGACUAUAAAUUACUAAAAAUGGUAAAAGUCCCACAUUGAAAUUUUUAUGAUCAAUCGUUUAACUUUUUUUUUUGCUCAAGCAAGAUACAAAUGAUCAUAUUUCGUAGGGGUGAGCGUUCGGAUAUCCGUUCGUAUUUGUAUCGGGUAUUUCAGUAUAAAUGUAUGAAACCAGUUCGACUAUUUCUACACUUCUGGUCGGGUUCGGAUAUUUUAUGUUCGGGUUCAGAUAUUUUUGGUCGGAUUCAAAUAUUUAAAUUUUGAAGAAAAAAUAAACAAAUUAUUCAUUGUUUAAGUUUUUUGUAUUUAAAAUAUACUUUUAACUUAAAUGGUUUUCAAAUUUUUAAAAGAUUAAACUAUCAAUAGGUUUGAAGAUAAAACUGUAUAAAUAGAAAGACACUAAUUUAGUUGUUGUUUUGAAAUUUUAGAUGAACUUUUGUUAAUGCAAAAAACAAGAGCUUGAUAUGUAUUUUAAGUGAGUAACAAAUAAUUUUUUCCAAAAUUGUAUGUAAAUUAUCUAAUUUUGAGCAAUGUGCAUCAUUAAUAAAAUUAUUUUGAAUAAAAUGAGAGAACUAAACUAGAAAUAUAAGGUUAAAUAUAUUUAUGUUUGGUUAUCUUCGGAUAUCCGUUCGGGUUCGGAUAUUACAUGUUUAGGUUCGGGUACCUAAUCUCUCCGAAUUCAAUAAUCGUUCGGGUCUCGGUUUCGAUUUUUAGAUGGGAUUCAGAUACGGGUUCAGGUAUUGGAUAAAAUGCCAGCCUUAAUAAAUCAUAUGAAUAUGAAGUCUCAUUAACAAAUAUUCAUAUAUAUAUAUAUAUUAAUAUCAUUUGAAAUAAAGUAUAUACUAUAUAAAAGUCUACAAAUAUGUUAACUUCAAAAUUUACACAAAAAAAGUUAUUGAGAUCUUAAUAUGUUAAUUUUGAAAUUUGUAUUGAAAAAUCUCACAUUAAAAGUUUUGUAGUUAACGAUUUAAAUUUUUGUCACAGUAAAUAUACAAAUGUUAAAAAAUCAUAUGAGUAGGAAGUAUCAGUAAUAAAUAUUUAUAUUAAAAUAUAUUAUAUAUCUAUGUCAAUAUCAAUAAAGUCUUAUUUAUAUCAUAUAAAGUAAAUAAAAUGAUUGUUUUGAUUUAUUUAUCAAAAAUGUGAUUGUAAAUUAACAAAAUGUAUUGGUUUUAAUUUAUGUAUUUACUCUUAUGUAUAUACUUUUAUGUAUACAAAUUAUUUUUUAAAUAUGUAGUUUCUAAUAUCUUAUUUGAUUCUGACAAUCCCAAAAACACACUUCUUCAAAUCGAAGUGGUUUUUAAGAUUGGAAGCACUAUAUAUAUUAUUUCAUUCAGAUUAAAUAAUUUAGUCUUGAUUUUUAUUCCUAAAAAUGUUUUAGUGAAAUAUCAUGACAAAAUUCUAAUCACCUCUUUUUGAGUUUGUUCGAAAAACGAGAAAUUUGAACAUUCGUCUAAUAUUUGUUUCUCUCUAAUACUCUAACUAGCUAUUAUAAUUACUAUUUAUUAUAAGUUUUCUGGUUUUUCAUUUAAUAAAUCAAACAGUUAUUAUUUAUACAUAGUUUACAUAUACUAGAAUUGUAAAGUAUUAUACAUAUUAUUAUUUGUAUUAAGUAACUAAACCUCAAAAGCCUAGGCUAAUAAAAUAAGUAAUUUGUUUUGUUAUUCUUGAAUAAGAUGAUUUUAAGACCGAACUGGUGAAUAUAUACUAGACACACAUUUAUAUUUCGAGUUUGUACUUAUAUUUUAUAACAACUUGAUAUAUUAGAUUUGAACACUAACCUGUUAAAAGAGUUUGUUUGUGAUUUUCUUCAAAAUUUUGAUUCUUAGAUAUGUAUCUGGAGUGGAACUAAUAAAGAUGUCAUUUUUUUAAAUUGACACUUAUGUAAUUCAUCGAAUUUAUAGAAUAAGUUAAAAAAUAAACUAAACGCAUAUCAGUGAAACAAAGACGAGAACGAAAACACAAUUUUAGAGGUAUAAAAUUCACUUAUGAAGAGUCAAUAGUAAACAAAUCGAGAGUAGAAAACCUAAUCCCAUUUCGUCAUUAUACAAUCGAUGUUGCCUAUUUAAUUUCUUGAUUUGUGUUAGCCGAAAAACUUAAUUCAUUUUGUACAUUUGAAGUCUUAAAAAUAAUUAAAAUGAGCUGUAAUGCAUUAACUCUUCAACAAUUAUGAUAAAUUUAAGAUACCAGCCAUUUGUAUUCGUCAUUUUAUAAUCGAUAAAGACUGUAGUGUGUGGUUUAUUAAAACCAUUUAAUUAACAAACAUUAUUAUAUGAACUCACUCCGCGCAUGUGCGCAUGUAAUCAUCUAGUUAUAAGAAAUAAAAGGGAGGUUUUUUUACUCAUCGGGAGAUUAUAAAAUACCAAGUCUUAUUAUAUAUAUAUAUGUGCCAGUUAAUUAUUUAAAAAUGUGAACUGUAAAUAAUUGGAUCAAACAUUUAUCCACCAGUCAUGAUCCUAAUAUAAUAGAAUAGAUCAUUUUAGAUUCAUCCUAAUUUAAUAGAAUAGAUCAUUUUAGAUUCAGACAUAUUUUACGACUCUACCUAAAACGCAUUUGUAUUUUUUUUCUAAUAUUAGAACUACAACAUAUAAUAUUAAUUUUGGCGCAACAGUUAUUCUACCCUACUUAAAUUUUUCACCAUCUUCUUCAAAUGGAACAUAUACCGCUCAUACAGAUACAUCCAUCUAUACUGCACAGGACCACCAAGUUCCAAUUCUCUUACCAGGUGAAUAACAAGAUGCUCCAUAACAUCAAAAAAUGAGGGAGGAAAUAUCUUCUCAAGGUUGCACUGAAUCACAGCUAUGUUAGUCUUCAAAUUUUCAAUACCUUCAAGAGUCACUCUCGGUUUAGUUUGGUCUGCAGAAAUAAAAAACAAACAUGUUUCGGUACAAAAUAUUCAUUGGUUUAGUUACAAAAAAAAAAAAAAUCAUUGGUUAUAUGUUGAUCUACAGAAUCAACCAAAUAUAUUAUUAGAUAUUACCGGUGCACUAAAUCAAAACAAAUUGACCUUUUUUGAUUCCUAACAUUGAUAAUAUUCUUAAACAGUUUCCUAUUAUUAUGCAAUCUAAGAAUAUAACUAACACUCUACAUACGAACUUGCAAAAGAAUAUUCUGAUAAUUAUGAUGAUUUGAUCUAAAAGGGAUAAGUAAUUAAGUAUUACUUAAUUCAAAUACCUAUAUUCUCAACUGAUAAUCGAGUUGCUCAUAAUAUCCUAUUUAACCUAGGCUAUCUCGGAAAUAAACUAUAUAUACCAAUGUUCAAGAAAUCUCUAGGCGGUAACUAGGCGUUUUAUUGAGAACUAACACCUUGGCGGAUUAUUCGGGGUCUAGGCGAGGCCUAAGCGUUAACGAAUUAUUGAUUUAUUUUAUAUUUAUAUGAAAUAUUUAGUUUUUGAUUUUUAAUUAUAAAAUUAUUGUGAUAAAUUAUUAAAAAUAGAUAUACAAAACAAAAUAAAUUAGAAAGUUCUGUUGAUUUAUACUAACAUUAUUGUUUAAUUUAACAUUUUAGACCAAUUUAGGUCGAUUUUAACCGCUUUAGAACAACUUAAACUGAUAUAAUUCAUAUAAAUCGUAUUUUUGAAAAAUCGUUUCGGAUAGGACCGAGUUACCGCCUAGGCGGGGGCCUAGGCGCCGCCUAGACCGAUUUUUAGAAAAUCUUGCCAAACGGACUGAAACCAUGAGUACAUAAUCAAAGGUAGACAUUUCUUCUCUCAUACGCAAAGUCGGGAUACUUUGAUUGGAAAUGCUUCAACGCUUUUGCAUCUGAAGGAUGUCUGAUCUCACCAUCUGUUGAGUGCUCCGCAUGCCAUCUCAUUGGUUGCGCUGUGCGUUCAGACAGAUACAACCUCUGCAACCUUUCCGUCAAAGGCAAAUACCACAUCCUUUUAUAUGGCACUGGAACUCUUCCACUCGUAUCUUUAUAACGAGGCUUUCCACAAAAUUUGCAUGUGUUUUUUAUGAAUCAAAUUCGUGUGUAAAGAGAGUGAGAGGGAGGAUGAAGAUAUGGAGUGAAUGAAGAGGAAAAUGGGUGCUUGUAUUUAUAGUUGAAAUCCUGCCGACAGACCGAGGAAAUUCCGACGGAAUUCCGAUGCCAACGGCUAGUUCGUCGGAAUUUCCUCGGAAUUUUUAAAAUCCCCCAACGGCUCUCCAACGGCUCUCUAACGUCUAUAAUAUUUCCUCGGAAUUCAUCUGUUUUUUCCGAGGAAUACAAUUUUCCUCGGUAUUCCAUAAGAAUAUUCCGACGGAAUGAUAUUUCCUCGGAAUUCCGUCGGUAUAUUCCGAGGAAAUUCCGAGGAAACCAAAUUUUGUGUUUCCUCAGAAUAUCCUCGGAAAUUCCUCGAAAUUUUCCGAAGAUUUCAUUUCCGUCGGAACGUCCGUCAGAAUACCGAUGUUUUCUUGUAGUGCGAGACCUCUAACAUAAUAGUCAGAGUUCCUUUCAGUUAAGUGAACGACUUUUAAUUUUGUAAAUAUAUGGUGCUACCUUGAACAACUAUACUAAUUAAUUACUUUUAGAGCCUCCCCUAUGAUUACAAAAAAAAAAAAGCCUCCCCUAUGAUUACAAACUUAUGUAACCAAGCUCUGACAUAUAUCUAAAAUUUAUUUUAUAUGAACUUAUUUUAUAUUCUGUUUAUAAUAUUUUGGAUUUAGAUAUUUUAAGAAUCAGAUUAAAACAGAAGUUGAGUACAUGGUUUGUUUAUGGAUACUCAUUCCGGUUUGGAUACUAACUGAAAUAUUUGAGUACUUAAUUAAUCGGGUGCAAUAUUUUUUCUCUUUUUGAGUUUUUUGAAUAUAUGUUUUCUUUUUAACUAAGAAGAGUUAGUCACCCACAUGGUUUGAAGCCAGCCUUUGCUGAUACCAAUAACAUGGUGUAAAGCAUUUUUUCCACCCGAUUUUUGAACUAGAACAACACCUUUGAUUAAACAACCUGAUCUAGUACUACAUCCAGUAAUAAUAUAUAUACGGUCAUGUUUGAAUAACACUUGAUACUUGAAAUAACACUCUACUCUAUGUGUGUACUAUGUAAGAGUGCUCCCAAAACGAAAAACCACUUUUUCUUCGAGUGCUCCUUUUCCUCUCAGAUAUGGGAAGUAUCCUGCAGAGUUCUUAUACUAAUGGCUGGAAUGCUAUAAUGCAUUUGCUUACUGAUGUGUCAAUGGAAAAUUAUAGUAUUUGCUUACUGAUGUGUCAAUGGAAAGAAAGAGGCUCUUUUGUAUCCGUUAUGCUUUUCAGGCAGCGGUAUAUGCGUUAUGGAAAGAAAGAAAUAAGAUAAAAGCAUGAUGAUAAACCAUUAUCUUUGCUAGCAUUGAAAAAAAAAUGAUUGAAAAAGGAGUCCGAAACAAGCUUAGUCUGAUGAGAACAAAGGGUGGAAAUAGUAUAAAAGGAGUGAUGUAAUUUUGAUUUGGAACAAGAUUGUAAAUAUUUCAAAAAUUAUUAGGAGUAUCAGUAGGUAAGGAGUUGCUCAUUACACAAAGGUCCGCACUUGUUGUAAGUAUUUUUUUUAUGAAUAAAAUUUAAUUUUCAUUCAAAAAAAUAGAAAAAAAAAACACUAUGGAUCUUUAUAACUUGAAUCAGAUACAAAUUUUAGUUUUUUGGUUAGAGUUCAUUUUAUCAUUUAGUUACAAAUGUACACGUCUACCUUUUACCAUAGUUUCUUAGAGAUUAAGCUAAGACAGAGCUAAACCUAAGAUUUGCUGGCUUUUUUUUCUUGAUUGGUUAAUUGAAAUCUAAACUGAAGAAAACAACAGCUCAUUUACUUCGCCACAAUAUUACUGAAAUUUAAUUAUUUUCCAGUGUAAGGAAUUUCGUGUAUAAGUCUGCUUUGUUAUUUUGUAGUUUUCUUUGGCUUUAAGCACAUAAAUGCAACAAAGAGAAGACAAUUUCAUUUGACUUUUUAGGCCAAAGUUGAUCAGAUGAUCAAACUGUAGAAACUCAGAAUAAACGGUUGAAGCAAUAGAUAAAGAUGGUUGAGCUGACUAUAACAAAUAAAACAAGACUUAGAUUUUGCUUUAAGUUAAUGAUUAAAAAAAUGUCAACAAGUCUUUUAAAAUAAGACCAAAUCUUUGAUGUUGUGGCUUAUCGGAAUAACACUGGCAAUUGCUUGGUUUGGUGGGUUUGGUAAGACAUUUGGUUUAUCUACCAGAGGAUUGCUAUAAAUCCAUGUGAAGUUGUUGAAUCAUGUUAGUGAGUUAAGUAACAAACAAACAAUGAGCCUUGAGAGACUUCAAGCAAUGAGAAGUUUAUUGAAGAGUGAGAUGGAGAAGUCAGAGACAUUCUCAUUGGUUCUUGAAAAGACAGGAACCAAGCUUCAAGAAAUCAACACCAAGUUGCUGUCUUUAGAAGCUGAUGUUAAAGUAGAUAAAUGGAGAUCUUUGCCUUUCUCUGAUCACAUCCGUCACACCAUUUCACCUAUAUCAGCUGUUCUGAGAGUCUUUUCCACGGUUCAAGAACUCGAGAGAUCUCUCAUGUCAUGUAAGGAUGUUCUUGGUUAUGUUUCGGAUGUUAAACGUCUUGGAGAAGCGUUAAAGCUUCUGUCAAGUAGCUGUGUUCUUGCUCUUACCUGGCUUGAAGAAACAAUCCAGUUCUUGUCUGAAAACGGAAUGCCUGAAGAUCAUCCUUGCGGUCUACGGUUCAAGACUUCGAUAAAGCAUCUGAAGGAGUUGCAAAUGACCGAGGCUCGUGCUUAUCUUAGUGGUGGUAGUCUCUGCACAGCGUUGGAGAAUCUUGAAACAGAGUUUGAGAGGAUACUCGAAGAAGAGGAGGUUUUGUCUGAAUCCAACAUGAGAAAGUUGAAGACAAUCAUCAAGAGACUAGAUGCUCACUGUGUACCUUCUUACAUCAAGAUCCGCACAAGGGUCAUUCAGAAACGGUUCGAGAAUGGGUAUCUACACAAAACAUUCACAGAAGAUGACAAUGUGCAGGACAUUGAAGGAGAUAUAGAUCAAUGGAGAUUUGACAUGGAGAUAGCUGUGAAAGAGAUCUACGAGUUUGAGAGUAAGCUCUGCUAUCAAGUGUUUGAAGAUGUACAUGAUGUUCCAUUGCGUUGCUUUGGAGCAAUAGCAUCAAACUCAGGACUCCUUCAGCUUCUCAGGUUCGGAUCAAGAAUCAGCAAAUGCAAGAAAAGUCCACCGAAGCUGCUAAAGCUCUUAGAUUGUUUCUCUACAAUGGACAACAUUAGAACCGAGUUUAACCGGCUGUUUAGAGGGGAGCUCUGUUCAGACAUACGCAGAGAAACACGGGAGCUGAUUAGCAACCUGGUUAAAGGUGUCUGCGAGAUCUUCUGGGAGUUGCCUUGUCAGGUGGAGCUUCAGAGACCAAACAACCCUUCUCUUGAUGGUGGUGUACCUAAGCUUGUGAGUGUUGUGACUGAGUACUGCAACAAGCUACUAGGGGACAAGAACAAGCCGGUCUUGUCCAAGAUUCUUGAGAUAGAUUUGGGGUGGAAGAAGGAAAAGUACCAAGAAGAGAUUCUCAUAGGUCAUAUCUACAACAUACUGAGAGAGAUUGCUUUGAAUCUUGAUGCGUGGUCGAGUUCCAGCAAAGAAACAGCUCUUUCUUACAUCUUUAUGAUGAACAACCACUCCCAUUUUAGCGGUUUGAGAGAGACUCAUCUCGGGAAGAUGAUGGGAGAGUCUUGGUUAAGUGCACAUGAGCAGUACAGAGACUACUACGCAGCACUAUAUGUCAAAGAAAGCUGGGGAAAGCUCUUGUCUCUACUCACCAUCAAAUCUCAACCUGCGAGAAGAAAGCGAGCCCGAGAGUCCAUUAAACGAACGUUACAAGACUUUGCCAAUGGCUUUGAUGAGAUAUACACAAAGCAAUCAGAUUGGGUUGUGGAGGAUGAAAGGCUGAGAUGGAAGAUAUGUCAAGCCAUGGUAAGAACGGUUGUGCCGAGGUACAAGAGUUAUCUACAGAGUUACAUAAUGCUUCUUGUUGAAGAAGAUCCUAUGAGACCUGGUAACGACUUGAGUUAUACGCCUAAGGGUUUGGAGAUGAAGCUAAAGACAAUGUUUCAGAGCAAAGAAGAGACAGAGAAGACAUACAAGUGUUCUCAUUUUGUGAACAAAGUGAUGGAUUUGGAAGUUACUCAGAAUUCUCACUUGACAUUUGAAGCUAUAUGAUGAUACUUACAUAAGAGUAUUUGGUGAAAACAGAUUAGCUCUACUUGAAUAGCUGUGUAGUGUCUGCAUGUGACAUACAACAGGUCUACACUUGGCUAAUUUAAAUGCGCAUUUCAAAUUUAUCUUUAGUUUUUAUUUUUCUGAGAAAAAUGUUCCUUACAAGUUUAAUUUCUUCUUUUAUUUUUCUAAGAAAAAACGUCCAUUUCAAGCUUAUUCUUUAGGGUAGAUAUGAUUAAUGUGAUAAUUUGGGUGAAUAAACGGUACAAUCAUUUCAGAUUAGAAAAGGAAAAUAGUAAAGACUUUGAACACGUCGCACUAGGUGUAGGUACAUUUAUCCGGAACAAAAGAACAAAACCGCACCGAACCAAAAUAACCAAAAUCAAAAUUGAACUGUUCAUAAAUAUCUAGACAUCUUAGAUUUCUGACAUAAAAAAUCGAAAACGAACCAAAAUCGAACUGAAAGCCAAAUAGUACAAAAACUUUUAACAUGUGGUUAAAUCACUAGAUAUAUACUUAAAAAUAUCAAUUAUAUUUAGUUUCUAAAUAACUAAAUAUUCUAAAAAUACUGUUUAUAAACCGAAUUACCCAAAUAUUGUCUUGAUCUGAAAAUAUUUAUAAUUAAACGAAUUACUCAAAAUUUUAUCUGAAUAACCCAAAUUGUCCAAUAUUUAACUUGAAAGUACCAAAUUAUCCAACAUUUUUAUCCAUAUUAUCUAAAUUACCCAAAAACCAGAACCAAACUGAAACCAAGUUAGAUCCGGAAAUUUUUCAGAUAGUAGCUGAUUUCUACCUUUGCUGCCGAUAGAACCAAAACUGAAAUAGCCGAAAACCAAACUGAAUUUGCAAAUAACCGAACAGUUUAUAAAUCUCUAGAACUAACAAACCAAAAAAAAAAAUCCAAACCAAAACCGAACUUGAAAACCGAACGCCAAGACCUACGUGGCACGUUUGUAGAUAUUUUUUAGUUUGAACGUAUCUUAUUUAUAUCACAAAAUACAAAACCAAUUUACUAUAUGUCAAAGACAAAUUAAAUAUAUCCAACUUAGAAUUCACAUUUUUGCAGACUUUACGCAUUACAUAUAUAUUAUUGGUAUGUAAUAAAUGCCAUAGCAUGACAUAAAUAUUUAUCCCUAUAUAUUAAAAUAGAAACAUUUAUAAUAAAUAUGUUCAUACACAUGUUGACACAUAUCAGCUUCACAAUCAUUUUAACUUUACAAUACUUACGUGUCAGUUUUAUAGUCAUUUAACAAUUAAUGUAUUCACAUACUAAUUUUUUUACCUCUAUCGUAAGCAAUUUAAUAUGUUCACACAUUAAUUUUUAGUCAGUUCAUUUUUAGUUUCCUCAUUUUUAACCUUUGUAUUAGUGAAUUGAAGUUCUCUCCGGGUAAGUACUGAAUAAUAUCAUUGUUGAAAGAAAUAAAUUAUAAAAUCAUUAAGAUACAUAUCAAUUAAAAUUCUGGAAUGAUCAUGUUUUUAGAAAUUAAAAGUUUCGUAUUUUGUCGAACUUGGCCAUGGUUGAGGUUUAUCCAACGAAAACAACAAAUAAUGAUGAUUGGUUAUGAAUUAAGGAAACUAAUGUGAAAAAUGCUACACACAAAGUUAGAUCUUUAGUUUAGUCAAAUAUUAUUUUUCUUUACAGAGUUUUCAUAUCAAGAAUUAGAAACAUAAUCAGAUUGUUUGAAAAAAAAAUCAGAAAUCAGAAAAGUUUAAAAAAAAAGAAAACUCAGGAAAUCGAUUGAAAAACAGAAUUCAUGUACUGUGUGAAGAGAUCACAUUAUUUUCGACGCAGCUCUAACCUAUUUCACUCGAUUGUAUUGUGUUUUUAUUAUCUUUACCAAUAAUUUAUUAUACGAAAGUACAUGUUAUUGGUUACAAAUUACGUCAAUUUUGGAACAUGCCAACAAUAUUGACACGACGCCCAAUCAUUUUUAUUGGUAUUCUUAAAAUAUUUCUCAAUAAUUAUGUACGUAAAAUAAACCCAUCAUAUUUGUUUUACAUUUUUUUAUUUUUCUUUAUAUUAGUAGAAGAAAGUAAGUUUGAGUAAAAUAUUCGGAUCCAAAAAACCAAACGGAACUUGAUUUGAAAGUAUUACUAAACACAAACUAAAACUAGUUAGGUACUCAAAUGAAUCUAAAAGUUUAAUAUCUGAAUAACGAGACCCAAAUCUGAUCUAAACUGAAAUAUUUUGGAUACCGAAAAUAUCUAUAACAAAAUUAUAUACUUAAAUAUAUCAAUAAUUUUAAAUUUUAUAUCUAUUAGAUAUUCAAUAAUAUGAAAAUAUCUAAAAUAACAAAAAUGUUCAAAUACUGAAAUAUAUAUUUUUUCUCUAUCUAAAUAUUUAAGCUGAACUAUUUUUAUGUAAAUUUAAGUAUUUAGUCUUACAUUACUCAAAAAUUUUAUGUUCUAUAUUAUUUUUAUUUUCAGAUUUUGAGGAUUAAGUAUAUUUGGAUUUUUGUUAAAAAUUACAUAAUUAAAAUAGAUAUUCAAACUAGAACCCAAACUUCAAUGAUUCGAGCCAAACUCAAACCAAAUUGAAACCAAAAUUUUUAAAUAUUUGAAUCAUAUUUAAAUUACUAACUCUAAAAUCCAAAAUACGAAUAGAUCAACUGAAUCCAAAUAGAUAUUUGAAUCCAAAAACCGGAUGUAAUACCCAGUUUAAUCAAAAUAUGGAACAACCCGGUUUAAAUAAUCUAAUCAAAAUAUGGAACAAACCCGGUUUAAUCAAAAUCAAAAGUCGGUACGUAUCAAAAUCAACUAGUUGAGAGUUAACUACCAGAAUUCACGGCGAGAGUGUCGGUGGCUGGUGCUACAGCGUCAGUCACACUGACAAUUAACACCCAAAGAAUUAUAUAAAACAAAGUAUCUUUUUUGACAAAAUCAUCAAAAGAAACUCGCAUGAUUCGUUAAGUCCUUGUCUCCUUUUCUUUCUUCUUUUGCAUUUUCCUAACCAUCCUACUAUAUAAAAGGAGCUAUUUUAAAGGCUUCUAAAGUGUGCCACAUAUGCAAAAAAUUCAUGGCCAAUUAAUCUAAUAGCUCAUCUCAAACUGGGCUGAUAUCCAUGUCAAUUACGAAGCACAAACAAUUUAUUUAAAUCCCAGUCAAUACUGAAGUCAGCCCAAUAUCCAUUUACGGUAUAUGAUACCAAGAAACUAAGAAGCUCAUUCUAUUUUAUGAAAUUACAUGCUUUUGUUUAGUCUUUCGCCACAGUGACCGGAGGCGUGUUGAAUCACAAAGCUUCUCACGCAUCCCAUUAUUAUACUAUUUCAAUUGAGGUUCUUAGUGUUGUUCUAACUUAUAUUUAAAAAUAAAUUUUAUUAAAUGUUAUAGAUUUUACUAUUAUCUUAAUAAAAUUUAAUAUAGAUUUGAUAUAUAUUAUAUCAAAUUAUAUAAAACUAAUAAAAAUGAUAUAAAAUUGUAUAAUUAUCAAACAUUUGGCCUAAACAAUAUUUUUAAAAUUUUGUAGAUAUAUAAGAAACUAAAUAUCAUACGAUUAGAUAUUAGAUGUUUAAAAAUUGCAUAUUUUUAAAAGCUUUAGUAAUACAAAUUGUAUAAUUAUAUAAAAAUAAUAAUAUUACUAAAUCUGGAAUGGUAUAUAUGAAUAUAUAUUUAUUUUAUAGAUGAUGCAUAAGAUAUUACCAACAUUAAAUAAAAUUAUCCGUCUCAUGUUUAUUUUUUUAAUUGUAGAGAUGACAUGUAGCAAAAUACCCAAAAUGACCCUAAUACCCUAGAUAUAUAGAAAAUAUAAAAAAUUUGAAAUAUAAUACAAUAAUUAUUUGUAGAUAACUGGUACGUUUAACUUUGUGGGACAAGGAGACGUCUAAUUUCAGGGAGUAAAAUCGCAUAUCUACCAGGAAAAACUAAAUUGUAAUCAUCACAAGUAUCAUUCUACGGUUACAUGAAGGUAAUAAACUAAACAUAAAGUUUAUGUCAAACUAAAUUUUUACAAAUAUUUCACUUUUUCAGGGAAACUAUCACUCACAACCACACCUGGAUCGUGCUUCUACUUUGACAACGAUAUUGAUAUCAUACAACGCUUCCAAAAAAGGAAUAAAUGUCUAUCCUAAGCCUCAUAGCAAACGACACCAGUCAAUUUUUUUAAAAUUUACGUUACAGCUUUCUACGUCAAUUAAAUAGGCACACUCAAAUACUAUUUUCUCUUACGAAUAUUAAAUUCAUCAACAUAAUUUAUUAUUCAAACUUACUUUAGUUUAUAAAAAAAAGUGAUCACCGCUUCCAACGUCUUCGCAUUAUAAAAGAAACAAAACUUAACUUACACUUUCAGAAACUUUAAAACUUCCAAUUUUAAUUAAACUGUUCUUUAAUUAAACAUGUAAUCCGCGCGAAACGCGGACACGGACUCUAGUUCCACUAAUUCCCCUCAAUUUCCGUGAAACCCUUCAAAACCCAUUUGGAGAGAGAGAGGGAGAGGGAGAGGGAGAGGGAGAGGGAGAGGCGGAGAGUGUAAGAAGAAGAAGAAAAUGGGCGUGGAUUUGAGACAAAUUGUGGCUGCAAUCCUCACCAUCACCAUGUUUGUAAUGCUCGGACAAAUGCUUCACAGAGACUACUUUGAUGCUGUUCAGGUACUUAACCAUGUCCCUGUUAGUGACUGAGCUCACUUCAACUGGGGUUCUGAUCGAAUUUGUGGAUCACAGAUCUAGUUUAGGGUUUCAUUUUGUAUCGAAUGUGGAUCAUAAAGACUCAGACUUUGUAGAGAAUGAUUGUGAAAGCUUCAAGCUUUUUGUUUUUUUUUUGUUUUUUUUUUUCUAUAGCUGAAACUUCAAAUGCUUCUCUUAUUUGCGUGUUUGUGGUUUUAACAGGAAAAAGUUGAAGGAGAUGCACAUGAUAUUGAGUUCCAUGGAUCAAAAGUAGCUGUUGUGGAAGAUGGACUUGUUAGAGUAAGUGAAGGGACUAAAGGACCUUGGAUGCAUGAUAGCCAUGACCUUAAACCUUGUUGGUCAAUCUCUUCAUCUGGUAUUUGUUUUCUUCCUCAGAUCAGUUCUGCUUUUUAAAUCUUCUCUGCUGUUUUUGAAAUUGGUUUGCUUCAAUGUUUUUUUGGUGUUGUAGAUGAAGCGGUAUCGUCAAAGGGUUAUGUUACAUUCUCCUUAACUAAUGGCCCUGAAUACCAUAUCUCUCAGGUACUCUUCAUAUUGACUCUAAUGGUCACAUGUUCUCUUCUUUCCUCUGAUGUCUUUUGUUUGUUUAGAUUACUGAUGCUGUGAUGGUGGCGAAGCAUCUUGGAGCAACUCUUGUGCUUCCUGACAUAAGAGGAAGCAAACCUGGUGAUGAAAUGUUAGUGUUUUUUUUUGUGUCAUCACAAAGGUUUUUGAUGUUUCUCUGUGAGGUUUAUGAACAAGUUUUAAUUGCUUGCUUGACCAGGAACUUUGAAGACAUCUAUGAUGUAGAUAAAUUCGUUAAAAGCCUGGAAAGCGUUGUCAAGGUUGUGAAGAAACUGCCAAGCCACGUUUCUCUAAGAGACAUCGCCAUCGUUAAGGUCCCCACUCGAGUUGCAGAAGACUACAUCAAGGAGCAUAUCGAUCCCAUCUUCAAAUCAAAAGGGAACAUUAGAGUCACAACCUACUUCCCUUCCGUGAACUUGAGGAAGACUUCGCUGGAUGGCGAGACAGAUCCUGUUUCUUGUUUGGCCAUGUUCGGCUCCUUGGAGUUGCAACCAGGAGUGAGUGACUUGGUGGAGUCGAUGAUUCAGCGGCUGAACUCUGGUGGCCGUUUCGUAGCCAUAGACUUGAGAGUUGAGAUACUUGAGAAGAAGAAUUGCCGUGAAACAGGUGCGGUGGGAUCCAAAACCUGUUACAACGCACAAGAGAUCGCUUUGUUCUUGAGGAAGCUUGGGUUUGCGAGUGAUACGACUAUAUAUCUGACUCAGCCUAGAUGGGAGAGCAGCCUCAAUAUACUUAAGGACAUUUUCCCCAAAACGUUUACUAAGGUAUCAUUCAUUCUUUUAAGUAUGUGAAGUUGUUAAUUACCCUUUUGCUGAUGUAGAUUGUCUAUUAUGGCAGGAGACGAUAAUGCCAGCAAGCAAGAAGUCGAAGUAUCUUGAGUUAGAAAACUCAGAGUACGAGAAUGUUAUUGACUUCUACAUAAGUUCGAGGAGUGAUGUAUUUGUGCCAGCCAUUCCUGGUCUGUUUUACGCUAAUACAGUUGGGAAAAGGAUAGCUUUAGGCAAGCCUCAGGUUCUUGUUCCUGCGGAGAUCUCAGGAACGUCUGGUCUUUCUACUGAUUACAUCUCUCCCUAUAUCUCAAAGAAGAACCACUUGGCGUAUUCAUGCUUUUGCUGAACUUCUCUAUGAAGGGAAACAACGAGUGAUCUUGAAAGUACAUGAAAGGGUAUAGCUCACCAAAAGUGUAAGCCAUCUAGUUACCAGGGGAUUUUUCAGGUUGUUUACUGACAAAGUUUAGUUCUACACCGGUUCGAAUUUUAGUUUUUAGUAUUAUUAUCAUUGGGGUUGUCUUGUUUAGGAAAAAAAAACUUUUGUAAGUUACAGUUUGAAUCUAUUGGCUCCUAGCUUUAUAUUCUAGUCAUUUGGUAACUAUGGUUGAGUGUGAGAAGGAGGAACAUGGAGGAUUAAGAUGAGCCAGGAGAGAUGAAAUGUUUAGAUUACUGAAUCUCUCAUGGUCAUCUCGACCACUGAGUCUCUCCCCAGUUCUUCAGCGAGCACGAGCCAUCUCUAAAGCCAGACACUCGUUGAGUUCCAUAACAACGUGGCUCAUGUUUGGUUUUCUUCUACCUGCAAGGUCACUGUUGGGAUCAACAAUCUCUACAGCACCGCCUUUCACCGGGAAAUUUCGCUUUUAGUAAAACCCACACUCUUCCCAAAAGCGAUGGUCCAUUGGAACCGGCUUACCAGCGGUCUAGUUGGUGGGUUCAGAAGUCACUGGUCCAAUAUUCUUUCCGAUCUAGGAGACUAACGGAACUACUAGCCUAAGCUGAUCCGAGCGCCGAACUCCACUUGGACCCAGUAACUCGACCUCACCUAACCAGUACCGGGCAAAUCGGGACAAUAUCCCAUCACCUUGUUGUCUCCACUCGGAUCACAAGCUUGCGUUACUAAGCUCGACAUUAAGUACUUGUGCAUAAACUUAUAUAUACAUGACGUAAAAACUUGUUUUGUCCGAUGUGAGACUUUGAUUUUUGUAAUAAAUUAGACUUAAAUUAAAACUGUAUCAGAUUAAACCAAAAAAUACAAAAACGGUUGUAUAAUAUUGGUUUUUCUUUUUUCUUAUAUAAUUGUGUCACCACAGUUGGUACCGUAAUUAAAGCCAGAAGUAUAAACAUAAGGUGUAAUUGUGGUGGUGCAACCAAUGACAGUUUGAUGAGAGUGGUUUCUGAAAGAUCAGUCUUUCGUGAGAAUGGUUUAUGUUAUUACGUAAUUGCCUAAUGCGCUAGUACCAAGCAGCUCGAUUUUCUCUAGUUUGUGCAUAAAGUUUACUUGCUGAUGAUCAAGAAAAAUCACUUUGCAUCGCUAGUAGUAUUCUCUAAUGGAGAUACAAUUGCUGCCCUAUUACAAAACAAAACCUAAAUCCUUUUUUUUUGGUAACUGACAAAACCUAAAUCCUUUGUCUUUCGAGUAAACGUAGAGCAAAAAAGAGUCGAACCUACACGAGUAUGGAGACAUAACACUCACAUACCUGUGAUUUUAAUGUGGUUCUGUCUAUUUUUCCAAGAGCGCCAGGCUUCUUACUACAGCCAUACCUUUGGUUUCCAUUAUUUAGGCCAAAAUAGAAUUAUCCAUAACUACUACUCAGACCUUGAAGAACAGCAACUUUUUUUUUUUCAGAUCAUAGAGAUUGGUCCAUGGGAUUGUGUGCUUCGAUGUCAACGUGCUGGAUUCCAGGGACAAGCUCUCGGAUCUGUUUCUCUAAACGGAUUACUUCACUUCCUAAAGCCGUCACAACUUCCUCACCUGCAACAUCAUGCCUUACUCAGCUUUUGUUUCCAGCUGGAAAAAUAAAACUGUGAUGACAAAUCCUUAAGUAGAAGAACUUGGUGAAUUGCAUACCGUAGUUUGACAUAAUGUUGAGCAUUACAGGAUCAUCUCCUUUCUUUGCAGCCUCGCGAAACUGUACAAAUACACCACACUUUUUUCAGAUAUUUUUAAAGUAACUAACCACAUAGUUAACCAAUGGUAUUGUUCGCAGAUAGUGAGAUAAAAGGCUGCAAAUAUAGUUACCAUUUUUGCCCACUCUUCACGCUUACUUCUCUUCAAAUAGUUUUGGACAACAACCUGCCCAUUGAAAUCUGUUUGCACAUAUAGCAGUUAACACAACGACCAAUGGAAUCACUCCAGAAAACUAUCUUCAAUCUCUAAGGCUAUGCCUUUUAUCUUCUUAUUUUCACAACCAAGGGUACAAUCCAAUCCUCUGAGCAGUUGAAGAGACUAACCUAUUUCAGCUUUAAAUCUGAAGGAUCCAGGACCAAUCACUUCACUUUUGCAAUCAUAUAGAGCAUCUACCACCUACACAACACCAAAAGUUUUCUUAUUUAAAUGCUUUAAAUAUAAAUAUUUUCUGAGUUCUGAAAAGAAGAAAUAUGUACCGAGUCGUUCUUUAAAAAAUGAAGAAUUUUACGCAUGUCUUGAUCAUCCAUUGCUCUUCCAAUCAAGGCAUGUCGGUUCCGUUGUAUGAGAAAAAUAGCCACCUUGUAAAAAUACAUACUCUUUGGUUUUAGAAAAUGUAAUAUAUUACAAAUUAAUUAGUAGAGUUGGAAGAACAUACCAUUCCAAGUAAAUUGCCAACUACAAUGGAUCCUAUAGGAUCAUAAAUAGCAUUUCCUGUCAUCUUAACAGCGACCAGAGAAGCCGCAGCUAUUGCCAAACCUGCCACUGCAGCGCCGUCCUGUGCAUUUACAACAGUUGAGGUCAUAAAACAAUUUAGCAGUGUGUUAAAAAAAAAAUCUGAUACAAGAAAUGUAGUAAACUAAUACCUCAGUCAUAACAGCAACAGAAGUAGGAUCAUGACCACGCCAUAUAUAAUCUCUUAUGGUCAUGCCUUCUUGUGCAGCUCCUUUUUUC
rnacentral:lncRNA from 1 species